GUUUGGUUAUCAAGCUGUUGACAUUUUUCCUAUGAAAGUGAACUAAAAGGUACAAGAGAUCGAGGGUAUCAACAUGAAACUUGGACUUUUCGUUAUCCUGUUUGCUUUCAAUUUCAAUGUGAAGGUUAUUAAUGGCUGGUAUAGCAGUUUGGGUGGUGUAUGCGGUUACCGACGAUAUAACCCAAGAUUGCAAAGCUGUUGCGGAGGAAUGGUGACUUCAAAAGGUUCAUGUUGUGGUACCCGAUCAUACAAUUAUCGUUUGAACAGUUGUUGCGGAGGCGUGGUAACUUCAAAAGGUUCAUGUUGUGGAACCCGAUCAUACAAUUAUCGUUUGAACAGUUGUUGCGGAGGCAUGGUAACUUCAAAAGGUUCAUGUUGUGGUACCCGAUCAUACAAUUAUCGUUUGAACAGUUGCUGUGGAGGCGUGGUAACUUCAAAAGGUUCAUGUUGUGGUACCCGAUCAUACAAUUAUCGUUUGAACAGUUGUUGUGGAGGCGUGGUAACUUCAAAAGGUUCAUGUUGUGGUACCCGAUCAUACAAUUAUCGUUUGAACAGUUGCUGUGGAGGCGUGGUAACUUCAAAAGGUUCAUGUUGUGGAAAACGAUCGUACAACCCGCGCUUUCACAUGUGUUGUAACGGUCGUGUUUGUUAAAUGAAAAACAAAACUAUGUUCACGUAAAUAGAUGCAGUUCUCAGUUAUUGAACACAUUGGGAAAAGUAAAAUACCAGAAAUAAGA